rnacentral:lncRNA from 1 species
GAUUUCCGGAACCUGGAAGCCUAGGCAGGCAGUGGGGAACUCUGACUCGCCUGUGCUCUGGAGCUUGAUCCGAAAGCUUCCACAGUGAGGACUGCUCCGUGGGGGUAAGAGAGCACCAGGCACUGAGGCCUGGGAGUUCCACAGACCAACACCCCUGCUCCUGGCGGCUCCCACCCGGGACUUAGACCCUCAGGUCCCUAAUAUCCCGGAGGUGCUCUCAAUCAGAAAGGUCCUGCUCCGCUUCGCAGUGGAAUGGAACGGAUUUAGAAGCCUGCAGUAGGGGAGUGGGGAGUGGAGAGAGGGAGCCCAGAGUUACAGACGGCGGCGAGAGGAGGGGCGUCUUUAUUUUUUUAAGGCCCCAAAGAGUCUGAUGUUUACAA